UGACAUCUGGACUUGGAAGCUGACUGGCUGUAUUUAAAACUUGAGUUUGAAUCUUGAUUUGUAUUAGGAGGCAAUCAUGUGAGCUACUGUCAGUUGAUCGAGUGGAUGUAGCUCAAAAUGAGAUUCGGACUUGUUCCUUUUGUCAAUGUUCUCCACUUGUCCUCUACAAGGGAGCGUGAUUAACAUUCAUGUUGGUCCAAUGCGGUACCUUUGUAAUGACAGGAGUACGUGGUGGAAGAUCGAGACGCCAGCAAGAAUGUGCCUGAACUUGAUGACAGCCAUAUUGCGGAACUAAGGAUGUUAGGCCUCUACUAAUUUUGAGG
rnacentral:lncRNA from 1 species